rnacentral:rRNA from 1 species
UUGGUUGUACUGGUGUAAGAGUGUAGGCCGUGACAUAGGCAAAUCCGUGUCACAUUAAGGCUGAGACUUGAUGCAUACCCGUUGUGGGGAAUUCAGUGAUCCUAUGCUGCCGAGAAAAGCCUCUAGUGAGUUCAUACACGGCCCGUACCCCAAACCGACACAGGUGAUCAGGUAGAGAAUACCAAGGCGAUCGAGAGAACUGUGGUUAAGGAACUCGGCAAAAUGCCCCCGUAACUUCGGGAGAAGGGGGACCAUGCCCGGUGAACAUCUUCACGGUGGGAGCUGGGUGUGGUCGCAGAGACCAGAGAGAAGCGACUGUUUACUAAAAACACAGGUCCGUGCGAAGACGUAAGUCGAUGUAUACGGACUGACGCCUGCCCGGUGCUGGAAGGUUAAGAGGACCGGUUAGCCGUAAGGCGAAGCUGAGAAUUUAAGCCCCAGUAAACGGCGGUGGUAACUAUAACCAUCCUAAGGUAGCGAAAUUCCUUGUCGGGUAAGUUCCGACCUGCACGAAUGGCGUAACGACUUCUCUGCUGUCUCGACCACAGACUCGGCGAAAUUGCACUACGAGUAAAGAUGCUCGUUACGCGCGGCAGGACGAAAAGACCCCGGGACCUUUACUAUAGCUUGGUAUUGGCGUUCGAUUCGGUUUGUGUAGGAUAGGUGGGAGACUGUGAAGCAUGCACGCCAGUGUGUGUGGAGUCGUUGUUGAAAUACCACUCUGAUCGUAUUGGACGUCUAACCUCGGCCCAUGAUCUGGGUUAGGGACAGUGCCUGGUGGGUAGUUUAACUGGGGCGGUUGCCUCCUAAAGAGUAACGGAGGCGCCCAAAGGUUCCCUCAGCCUGGAUGGCAAUCAGGUGUUGAGUGCAAGUGCACAAGGGAGCUUGACUGUGAGACUGACACAUCGAGCAGGGACGAAAGUCGGGACUAGUGAUCCGGCACCGGCAAGUGGAAGCGGUGUCGCUCAACGGAUAAAAGGUACCCCGGGGAUAACAGGCUGAUCUUCCCCAAGAGUCCAUAUCGACGGGAUGGUUUGGCACCUCGAUGUCGGCUCGUCGCAUCCUGGGGCUGGAGUAGGUCCCAAGGGUUGGGCUGUUCGCCCAUUAAAGCGGCACGCGAGCUGGGUUUAGAACGUCGUGAGACAGUUCGGUCUCUAUCCGCCGCGCGCGUAAGGAACUUGAGGAAGGCUGUCCCUAGUACGAGAGGACCGGGACGGACGAACCUCUGGUGUGCCAGUUGUUCCACCAGGAGCAUGGCUGGUUAGCUACGUUCGGAAGGGGUAACCGCUGAAAGCAUCUAAGCGGGAAGCCUGUUCCAAGAUGAGGUUUCUCACCACCUUGCGUGGUUAAGGCCCCCUACAGACCAUGGGGUUGAUAGGCCGGAACUGGAAGCGCAGCAAUGCGUGGAGGUGACCGGUACUAAUAGGCCGAGGGCUUAC